CAAAAACAUGUCUUUUUGAUUAUAAUUUAAAGUCUAACCUGCCCAAUGAGGAGUUAAAUGGCCGCGGUAUUUUGACCGUGCAAAGGUAGCAUAAUCAUUAGUUUUUUAAUUGAAAGCUGGUAUGAAUGGUUGGACGAGAAAAUAACUGUCUCGGUUUAAAUUAAAUUAGAAUUUUAUUUAUGAGUAAAAAAGCUCAUAUGAGUUUAAAAGACGAGAAGACCCUAUAGAAUUUAAUAUAUGUAUAUAUAUAUUAUUUUUAGUAUUAAUAAUAAGUUAUAUAUAAUUAUAUUUUGUUGGGGUGAUAGAAAAAUUAAAUUAACUUUUUUUAUAUAAAAACAUUAAUGUAUGAAAAAAUGAUCCGUUAAUUACGAUUAUAAGAUUAAAUUACCUUAGGGAUAACAGCGUAAUUUUUUUUUAGAGUUCUUAUCGAAAAAAGAGUUUGCGACCUCGAUGUUGGAUUAAAAUUAACUUUUGGUGUAGGGGCU
rnacentral:rRNA from 1 species